GUGUUCACUUUGGCAGCACAUGUACUAAAGUUGGAACAGUACAGAGAAGGUUAGCAUGGCCCCCGGGGCAGGGAUGACACUCAAAUUCAUGAAAUGAUCCAUAUUGUU